ACAGAGGGUGCUAGCGUUAUUCGGAAUCACUGGGCGUAAAGGGCGCGUAGGCGGCCUGGUUAGUCUGAUGUGAAAGCCCUGGGCUCAAUCCAGGAAGUGCAUCAGAUACUGCUAGGCUUGGAGUAUGGGAGAGGAGGACGGAAUUCCUGGUGUAGAGGUGAAAUUCGUAGAUAUCAGGAGGAACAACAGUGGCGAAGGCGGUUCUCUGGACCAUUACUGACGCUGAGGCGCGAAAGCGUGGGGAGCAAACAG
rnacentral:rRNA from 1 species